rnacentral:tRNA from 1 species
CCCUCAUAGCUCAGUUGGUAAAGGAUCUGCCCACAAUGCAGGAGACCCAGGUUCGAUUCCUGGAUCAGGAA